rnacentral:rRNA from 1 species
UACGUAGGUCCCGAGCGUUGUCCGGAUUUAUUGAGCGUAAAGCGAGCGCAGGUGGUUUAUUAAGUCUGGUGUAAAAGGCAGUGGCUCAACCAUUGUAUGCAUUGGAAACUGGUAGACUUGAGUACAGGAGAGGAGAGUGGAAUUCCAUGUGUAGCGGUGAAAUGCGUAGAUAUAUGGAGGAACACCGGUGGCGAAAGCGGCUCUCUGGCCUGUAACUGACACUGAGGCUCGAAAGCGUGGGGAGCAAACAGG